GUGGGGAAUUUUGGACAAUGGGCGCAAGCCUGAUCCAGCAAUGCCGCGUGCAGGAAGAAGGCCUUCGGGUUGUAAACUGCUUUUGUACGGAACGAAAAGGCUCUGGCUAAUACCUGGAGCUCAUGACGGUACCGUAAGAAUAAGCACCGGCUAACUACGUGCCAGCAGCCGCGGUAAUACGUAGGGUGCGAGCGUUAAUCGGAAUUACUGGGCGUAAAGCGUGCGCAGGCGGUGCUGUAAGACAGGCGUGAAAUCCCCGGGCUCAACCUGGGAACUGCAUCUGUGACUGCAUUGCUGGAGUGCGGCAGAGGGGGAUGGAAUUCCGCGUGUAGCAGUGAAAUGCGUAGAUAUGCGGAGGAACACCGAUGGCGAAGGCAAUCCCCUGGGCCUGCACUGACGCUCAUGCACGAAAGCGUGGGGAGCAAACAGGAUUAGAAACCCGGGUAGUCC
rnacentral:rRNA from 1 species